CGUUUUGGUCACCCUCGUGGGUGUGAAAAGGGAAGCCGGUGCGAGUCCGGCGCAGUCCCGCUGCUGUAAGCUCGAGAGUUUGAGGUCCAAUCUGUUACGUCACUGUGCGCCGCCAUAGGCGCAUGGGAAGACAGGGCCUCGGGGAGCAAGCCAGAAGACCUGCCAAAGCAA
rnacentral:ncRNA from 1 species